GCCGGCGCUGGUGGGCAGAGUGAGCGGGGGCCGCGGGCUGCGAGGUCUGCAGGUCCCCGAGCCCCAGGAGAGGGGAUCCUGAGGGACCUGCCCGUGUGUCCUGGCAGCGGGCGCUCGGCCCCGCGGUCUCCCGGCAGCGCCCAGGAAAGGCCGUUUCGCCCUGCGAGGGACACAGAGCCGUUGACCGUAGUUGCAACUGGCAGUUGGCGCAGUAAGGACCUGGCCAGCGUUUCAGAUUUGCUGGGCCGUGGCUGUCACCCAGGGAGCUGCUAAGGGCAUGGGGAAGAUGAAGUUUAUAGAGAUUACAUACUUGAAGAUCUGGAAGCUCAUAAGAAAUGGAGCUGGAAUUUGAAUCCACCCUUGUAUACAUUAUACCGUCUAAUGACACAAAAUUUAGCCUGUUUGAUAGCUUUUUUAGGAUUAUGCUAACAUGACAUCAAAUUAAAUUCUGAUCUAGUCUAAUUUAAUUCAAUAUAUACGUAUUGGACACUCUUCAGUCUAACUGAACUAAUAUUUAGUGAGAGGUUAAUAUAAACUAGGCAUUGGUGUAUAGAUUUGACAAGAUGAAAAUUUCACCUUCAAGGAGCACUCACAGUUAUUAGAAGAGAAAAACGCAUAAAUAACUGUAAUAUUGAGUGGUAUAUUCCAACCUAGUUUUAAACAUUGUAUUGGUGCUAAGGAAGUUUGAAAAACAAACCAGACACAAAAUCUGCCCACAAGUGCUUGUAAUUUACUUGAAGAACUCAGUUCUAACACAGUUUCAUCAGGUAAUUCAGGUAAAUAUUCACUCUAGGCCCAGAUUUAUGGCAACUGAUAAUUACUGAUAAUUUCUUUAGAUUUGUUGAUAUUCUACUUGAUGAAACAUUCAAAUUUUACUUUAAGUAAAUGUGGCCAAAAGUGUCAGAAAAUAACCAAUUGUGCUUUUUAUAAAAUAAAAAUUAACAAUGCUUGACUAAAGCCACCACACAGAGUGACUGUCAUUAUGGGUAUGCUGUCUUUGAAUGUUAAGGUAUUAAUCACAGAAGAGGAAACUCAGCCCUGGUAAUUUCCUAUUGGGUAGUUAAUCAUUUCUGUUAGUUACAUUUUGACUAAUCAUCCAUCCAUCCAUCCGUCCAUCCAUUCAUCCAUCCAUUCAUCCAUCCAUCCAUCCAUCCAUCCAGCUAAUAUCCUAUCCCACUCCACAGGAAUAUGGUGGGCAUCUUAAUAUUAGCUGUUAAGCUGAAGCUGGCUCAUAUAGGCUUGUGAGGGACGAUUGUUAAAUUUCUGAAAACUUUACAUGCUUUCCAUACAACCAUUAAAAAACUAAAUUUUAUAAACUUAAAUAAAUUAUAUUACAAAUAAAGUUAAUAGAUACACAAAACUCAUCAUUUCCUAAUAAUUUUACUAUAUUUUGGUAUUAUCUGUGCUCUUAAGGUUAUUCACAUUUACUAUACCUGUAUGAUGAAGUUACUGCAAUAAUGGUGUGUUACUUUGCAUCUCUUCUCAACUCCACAUUCUGUGAUGUCAUGUUAGUAGCUUGAAAUAAACUGUAAAGGGACUAUUUAUACUUUGGGAAUUAGCAAACACACUUCAGUAUAUGUCAUAGAGUAAAAACAGCUGGAGCAAGUGUUCUAAGUAAUGGAGAUCUUUGAAAGUACCACUUAGUUCCUUAUUUAUUUUGUAAUGCAUACCUUUUACUUUA